rnacentral:rRNA from 1 species
GUUAGGAAUAUUGGACAAUGGGCGCAAGCCUGAUCCAGCCAUGCCGCGUGAGUGAUGAAGGCCUUCGGGUUGUAAAGCUCUUUAGUCCACGAAUAUAAUGACUGUAGUGGAAGAAUAAGCCCCGGCUAACUUCGUGCCAGCAGCAGCGGUAAUACGAAGGGGGCGAGCGUUAUUCGGAAUCACUGGGCGUAAAGCGUGCGUAGGCUGUUUUGUAAGUCAGAAGUGAAAGCCCAGGGCUUAACCCUGGAAUUGCUUUUGAAACUACAAGACUCGAAUUCAGGAGAGCAUAGCGGAAUUGUCAGUGUAGCAGUGAAAUGCGUAGAUAUUGACAGGAACACCAGUGGCGCAAGCGGCUAUCUGGACCGAUAUUGACGCUGAGGCACGAAAGCGUCGGGAGCAAACAGGAUUAGAAACCCUGGUAGUCC